UACGUAGGGAGCAAGCGUUGUUCGGAUUUACUGGGCGUAAAGGGCGCGUAGGCGGCAAUUCAAGUCACUUGUGAAAUCUCCGGGCUUAACUCGGAACGGUCAAGUGAUACUGCUUUGCUAGAGUGCGGAAGGGGCAAUCGGAAUUCUCGGUGUAGCGGUGAAAUGCGUAGAUAUCGAGAGGAACACCUGAGGUGAAGACGGGUUGCUGGGCCGACACUGACGCUGACAGCGCGAAAGCCAGGGGAGCGAACAGG
rnacentral:rRNA from 1 species